rnacentral:rRNA from 1 species
AUUGAACGCUGGCGGCAGGCUUAACACAUGCAAGUCGAACGAGUGGCGGACGGGUGAGUAAUGCUUGGGAAUCUAGCUUAUGGAGGGGGAUAACUACGGGAAACUGUAGCUAAUACCGCGUACCAUAGGAUGAGCCCAAGGGGGAUUAGGUAGUUGGUGAGGUAAAGGCUCACCAAGCCGACGAUCUCUAGCUGGUCUGAGAGGAUGACCAGCCACACGGGGACUGAGACACGGCCCAGACUCCUACGGGAGGCAGCAGUGGGGAAUAUUGCGCAAUGGGGGAAACCUGACGCAGCCAUGCCGCGUGAAUGAAGAAGGCCUUCGGGUUGUAAAGUUCUUUCGGUAGAGAGGCGUUAGCUACAGAAGAAGCACCGGCUAACUCCGUGCCAGCAGCCGCGGUAAUUC